UGCCAGCCGCCGCGGUAAUACGGAGGGUGCAAGCGUUGCUCGGAAUCACUGGGCGUAAAGCGCACGCAGGCGGCUUAUCAGGUCGGAUGUGAAAGCCCGGGGCUCAACCCCGGAACUGCAUUCGAAACCGGUAGGCUUGAGUACGGGAGAGGGAAGCGGAAUUCCUGGUGUAGAGGUGAAAUUCGUAGAUAUCAGGAGGAACACCCGUGGCGAAAGCGGCUUCCUGGCCCGAUACUGACGCUCAUGUGCGAAAGCGUGGGGAGCAAACAGGAUUAGAUA
rnacentral:rRNA from 1 species